AAAGGAAGUUACCACAACAUGGUGUCCAAGCCAAGAAAUAUCCCCGGCAUCCUCGUGGUAAAUUUAGUUGAAGAUUUAUCUAAAAGAAAAGAAAAAUAAUUUAUGGAUUGAGCUCCAUCGCAUGACAGUGUUUAAGAUUCCUAUCUACGUAUCAGCUACCAAGGCUAUUAAAAUCUUGAAGCGCCUGUGAAGAGAACUCACCCACUGGCCUGGGCGCUCUCUGCAAGUGUCGCACCUGAGUCAUGCUGCAUCGGCAAUGCUAGGAGCGGAAGCCCUGUGCCCACUCAUCCUCUAAGACCAGGGGUCUCAGAUUUAGCAAAUAAAGUUACAGUUUAGUUUUUGGUUUUCUAGAUUUGAACUCAAUGGAUCUCACUUUGGAAUGACCUGAUAUCCUGCACAUAUUUUAACUGAAUCGUCCUAAGAAACAGAAAGCAAGCCAUUUUUUCUGCUCAAGUCGGAGGGAGACAGUGCCUCUCGCUGCAGGGUCAUCUGAUGAUAACAAAUUUGAAAAUGGUUUGCACUAUUUAAAAGUUGUCACUUAUUUGAAAUAAAAUAAAC